AAUUCCUGCCUGUUGAGGGCGUAGCUUUCAGACGAUUAGUUACCAUGGGCUACACUACGAUUUGUGAAUUAUUAAUGCUGACGAAACGGCGAGUGAUUGAUUCUACUGAUGCAUCUCUUUAUGGCAGAAAAGCUCAACACUCUCAAGGACCAGCUCAGGGGACUGGAGGCAGUGAAAAAUCUUGCACCUUGACCGACAGAAUUAAGAGGGACUAGAAUGGGGAAGGACCUCUGCUGUAUCAGCUAACAGUAACACAUCAGCAGUACCUAAUGAAGGCAAUGGAUAAAAUCUACUCUGGAGAGUUGACAGAGGGAGCACAUGCUAAGUUGACUUUUUCCUACGGAUUUG